rnacentral:rRNA from 1 species
ACCAGACUCCUACGGGAGGCAGCAGUGAGGAAUAUUGGUCAAUGGGCGGAAGCCUGAACCAGCCAAGUCGCGUGAGGGAAGAAGGCCCUGCGGGUCGCAGACCUCUUUGGACGGGGAGCAAGGCCGCCGACGUGUCGGCGGAAGGAGAGUACCCGUAGAACAAGCAUCGGCUAACUCCGUGCCAGCAGCCGCGGUAAUACGUAGGGGGCAAGCGUUAUCCGGAUUUACUGGGUGUAAAGGGAGCGUAGACGGCCAUGCAAGUCUGAUGUGAAAACCCGGGGCUCAACCCCGGGACUGCAUUGGAAACUGUGCGGCUGGAGUGUCGGAGAGGCAAGUGGAAUUCCUAGUGUAGCGGUGAAAUGCGUAGAUAUUAGGAGGAACACCAGUGGCGAAGGCGGCUUGCUGGACGACGACUGACGUUGAGGCUCGAAAGCGUGGGGAGCAAACAGGAUUAGAUACCCUGGUACA